rnacentral:rRNA from 1 species
GAUGAACGCUAGCGGCAGGCCUAAUACAUGCAAGUCGGACGGGAUUCAGGAGCUUGCUUCUGAUGAGAGUGGCGCACGGGUGCGUAACACGUAUGUAACCUACCUUUAUCAGGGGGAUAGCCUCUCGAAAGAGAGAUUAAGCCCGCAUAAAAUCACAGCACAGCAUUGUGUAAUGAUCAAAUAUUUAUAGGAUAAAGAUGGGCAUGCGGAACAUUAGCUAGAUGGCGGGGUAACGGCCCACCAUGGCUACGAUGUUUAGGGGAUCUGAGGGGAUGGCCCCCCACACUGGUACUGAGACACGGACCAGACUCCUACGGGAGGCAGCAGUAAGGAACAUUGGGCAAUGAGCGGAAGCCUGAACCAGCCAUGCCGCGUGCAGGAAGACGGCCAUACGGGUUGUAAACUGCUUUUAUACGGGAAUAAACCAAGAUACGUGUAUCUGGCUGAAUGUACUGUAAGAAUAAGGAUCGGCUAACUCCGUG